rnacentral:rRNA from 1 species
UUGAACGCUGGCGGGAUGCUUUACACAUGCAAGUCGAGCGGCAGCGCGGGGGCAACCCUGGCGGCGAGCGGCGAACGGGUGAGUAACAUAUCGGAACGUACCCCGUCGUGGGGGAUAACACAGCGAAAGUUGUGCUAAUACCGCAUACGACCUGAGGGUGAAAGCGGGGGACCGUAAGGCCUCGCGCGAUGGGAGCGGCCGAUAUCGGAUUAGCUAGUUGGUGAGGUAAAGGCUCACCAAGGCGACGAUCCGUAGCUGGUCUGAGAGGACGACCAGCCACACUGGAACUGAGACACGGUCCAGACUCCUACGGGAGGCAGCAGUGGGGAAUUUUGGACAAUGGGGGAAACCCUGAUCCAGCCAUUCCGCGUGAGUGAAGAAGGCCUUCGGGUUGUAAAGCUCUUUCAGGAGGGAAGAAACGGUUACGGAUAAUACCUGUGACUAAUGACGGUACCUUCAGAAGAAGCACCGGCUAACUACGU